GAUGAACGCUGGCGGCGUGCCUAAUACAUGCCAGUCGAGCGAACGGACGAGAAGCUUGCUUUUCUGAUGUUAGCGGCGGACGGGUGAGUAACACGUGGAUAACCUACCUAUAAGACUGGGAUAACUUCGGGAAACCGGAGCUAAUACCGGAUAAUAUUUUGAACCGCAUGGUUCAAAAGUGAAAGACGGUCUUGCUGUCACUUAUAGAUGGAUCCGCGCUGCAUUAGCUAGUUGGUAAGGUAACGGCUUACCAAGGCUACGAUGCAUAGCCGACCUGAGAGGGUGAUCAGCCACACUGGAACUGAGACACGGUCCAGACUCCUACGGGAGGCAGCAGUAGGGAAUCUUCCGCAAUGGGCGAAAGCCUGACGGAGCAACGCCGCGUGAGUGAUGAAGGUCUUCGGAUCGUAAAACUCUGUUAUUAGGGAAGAACAUAUGUGUAAGUAACUGUGCACAUCCUGACGGUACCUAAUCAGAAAGCCACGGCUAACUACGUG
rnacentral:rRNA from 1 species